AUGAUUUUAGUCAAAAUUAAGCCGCCUCCACAGCCCUCCGAUCAAACGCUCUACAGCCGUACAAAUCAGCCAGCUCCCAUGUAUAGCACCACGCAGCAGCAUGCCAGCACUCAUGACAGCAGCUCGCAGCCCCGACGGGUGCCCGGCGGCGCUUCAUGGCAACCUUACCGGAGCUCCAACAACCCCCAUGGUGCUUCACUGCAGCUCCGACGAUGUUCGGCUGCGCUUCAUUGCAACCUCGCUGGAGCUCCAACGACCCCCACAGCGCUUCACUGCAACCUCGCCGGAACUCGCGGCGCUUCAAUGCAGCUUCAGUGGCGCUCAACGAGGCUUCAUUGUAACCUCGCCAGAGCUCCAACGACCCCUGCAGCGCUUCACUGUAACCUCGCCGGAGCUCGCGGCGCUUCACUACAGCUUCUGCGGUGCUCGACGUCGCUUCAUUGUAACCUCGCCGGAGCUCCAACGAACCUCGCGGCGCUUCAUUGUAACCUCGCCGGAGCUCGCGGUGCUUCACUGCAGCUUCGGCGACGCUUCAUUGCAACCUCGCCGGAGCUCCAAAGACCCCUGCGGUGCUUCACUGCAACCUCGUCGAUGUUUCGCUGCAGCGCCAACACCGUCACGGCGAUGCUCCGUGGCAGCACACCGACGGCCGUCGCCAAGCUUCACUGCAACGUCAGCAUCGCGCGGCUGCCCCAUCAAAGCUCCACCGCAGCACCCCGAUGGCUGCUGGUGAAGCUUCACUGUAGCGGGCACGACGCCGACGGGGUUCUGCGAUGCAGCACGCGGCAACGGCGGCAGAAGUUGUUACGCAGCACGGCGGCGCGCUGA
rnacentral:rRNA from 1 species